UACGUAGGGGGCUAGCGUUGUCCGGAAUCAUUGGGCGUAAAGCGCGCGUAGGCGGUCAGGUAAGUCCGGUGUGAAAGUCAAAGGCUCAACCUUUGAAUGCCGCUGGAUACUGCCUGACUUGAGUCCGGAAGGGGCGAGUGGAAUUCCUGGUGUAGCGGUGAAAUGCGCAGAUAUCAGGAGGAACACCAAUGGCGAAGGCAACUCCCUGGAACUGUACUGACGCUGAUGCACGAAAGCGUGGGGAGCAAACAGG
rnacentral:rRNA from 1 species